UAGGGAAUAUUGGUCAAUGGGCGAGAGCCUGAACCAGCCAUGCCGCGUGCAGGAAGACAGCUUUCUGAGUUGUAAACUGCUUUUAUACGGGAAGAAAAGCCCUUGCGAGGGAAAUUGCCGGUACCGUAUGAAU
rnacentral:rRNA from 1 species